rnacentral:rRNA from 1 species
UACGGAGGGGGGCUAGCGUUGUUCGGAAUUACUGGGCGUAAAGCGCACGUAGGCGGCUUUGUAAGUUAGAGGUGAAAGCCCGGGGCUCAACUCCGGAAUUGCCUUUAAGACUGCAUCGCUAGAAUUGUGGAGAGGUAAGUAGAAUUCCGAGUGUAGAGGUGAAAUUCGUAGAUAUUCGGAAGAACACCAGUGGCGAAGGCGACUUACUGGACACAUAUUGACGCUGAGGUGCGAAAGCGUGGGGAGCAAACAGG